rnacentral:rRNA from 1 species
CUAAGCCAUCCGAGUCUGCCAGUCAAAGCAUGUUGACUAGCGGCGAACGGCUCAGUAACACGUAGUCAACCUGGCCCUGCGGGUCGAGAACAAUCUCGGGAAACUGAGGCUAAUUCUCGAUAAAUCAAGAUUCCUGGAAUGGGUUUUGGUCAAAAUGAUGUAACAGCAUCUUGUUAUUUUCGCCCGAGGAUGGGACUGCGGCCGAUCAGGCUGUUGGUGAGGUAAAGGCUCACCAAACCAGUAACCGGUACGGGCUUUGAGAGAAGGAGCCCGGAGAUGGACACUGAGACAAGGGUCCAGGUCCUACGGGGCGCAGCAGGCGCGAAACCUUCGCAAUGCGCGCAAGCGCGGCGAGGUUAUUCCGAGUGAUUUCCGCUGAGGAAAUCUUUUCUCAGAUCUAAAAUGUCUGAGGAAUAAGGGGAGGGCAAGUCUGGUGUCAGCCGCCGCGGUAA